AAAAACGAUGUAUUGUUUUCAAUGGGUGGCUUCCACUGAUCUCGAUUGUAAAAGGCUGGAUCGCGGAUAGGGAGCGCGAGCGUGAAGAAACCGGCCGCCAUCUUACGGUGCCCACAACAGCCGCCGCAGCGAUCAUGGCAACUUCUUGCAAUUACGGUCGUACCAACCGUACUGGCAAGGUUACAGGGCCUAAACUUAUACAGGUUUCGUCAUGAGGGCUGCCCAGUGAAUAAUCUGUGCAGUGUGAUACGGCUGGGUGUACAGGUUACUUCACAGCUGCCUCGACAUACUCAAGAAAUGGGUGCAGAACCUGCGUAAUGCCCGCAAACUUUGACUACCACAGCAUCUCCAGAAAGUAAAGGGAUAUGUGUCACAUGGGAUUUUUAAAGGCAUUCACAGUAUAUAAUACCUUGUAUGAACUGUUGUAGAUCUAAGCAGCCUCUACAGUACACUCUCAGAAAUUAAAACUUGUCAGGGAACUGUGAUAAUUGUUUCAGUUAAUAGGCAUGCACAUAUACGCUAUAAGAAGACAAUUAUUUAUUGAGAAUGCACUUCUCUGGCUACUCAUGUUGUUUACAUCUACUGUUGAUCACAUUCAUUUAUCACAUAUUAUAUUCUUAUAUAUUAUUAUUAUAUUAUCACAUAUUCGAUCACAUUAAAUUUAAAAUUUAGCAUAUAUGAGAAAAUAUCAGUGGGGAAGUUGCUAUUCAUUGCUCAUUCCAGCCUAAAGUUGAGUGCUACAAAUUUAGAUAGCGUACCUGACCAUUGUCAU